UUCCACACACCCUCCACUCUCCAGCAAUGGCAGUGAAAGCAUUUGCCCAACAAAGCCUUCUGGUGUUUCUCGGACCUCUGUCAAGCAGACUGGAUGAUUACAAUCUCAGGGAUUUUAUUUUGUUUUGUUUCCUUCUGUGUGAAACAGAGGGUAUUGAGUCAGCUGGACCUUGCUGGGAGGUAAAUCCUUCUCUAAGAAUUGCACUCUUUGCACUGCCACAGCUUCUUGGAGAGAUUACAGGGGGAAUGAUGUUGUGGUUGAUUAGCCAACCUUGACGAGUCUGUGGCAGAGCUGGCCAGAAAAUCUAUUUCAGAAGCUCAGCAAUUCUGUUUUAAUUCUGAACACGGAGACCAACCAGAGAUACUCUAUCUGAAACCUGAUUUCAACCUGUUCUGGUUUUCUGCACAUGCUGAUAGUUGCUGCCAAAUAUAGGAGAACUGAGACUGAAGAAGCUACUUGGAUGACUAGUGAAAUGUUUCAACCUAAGAAAGCAGGGACGUGGUGGCGCUGCGGGCUAAACUGCAGAAGCCUGUGCUGCAGGGUCAGAAGACCAAGCAGUUGUAAGUUCGAAUCCACGCGACGGAGUGAGCGCCCGUCGCUUGUCCCAGCUCCCGCCAACCUAGCGGUUCGAAAGCAUGCAAAUGCAAGUAGAUAAAUAGGGACCACCUCGGUGGGAAGGUAACGGCGUUCCGUGUCUAAGUCGCACUGGCCAUGUGACCACGGAAGAUUGUCUUCGGACAAACGCUGGCUCUAUGGCUUGGAAACGGGGAUGAGCACCGCCCCCUUGAGUCGAACACGACUGGACAAAAAUUGUCAAGGGGAACCUUUACCUUUACCUUAAUAAGAAAGAAGUCCAGUUGCCAUGACUCAACUUCCAGAUAACCUCACCUGGAUGACUGAGAAUCUUCACAGAUAUGCUGAAGGGUAUUUUCUGCCACUUAGGUAAAGUGUAUUCUCAGUUUAACAGUAUAAAACAAAACGCUAUUAACUCAGCAUCCUCACAUCAGGAAAGUCAUUACAAAUUACAGGGAUUUAAAUCUACAAUGGUGACAUUUUCAUGCAUGAGAAAAAGAAACUGCUAAUUUUUUCUCUUCUGUGGAAAAAUAAGUUAUUUUCUUUUGCCGUCAAAAAGUGUGUUUUUCCCCACAAAAAUGAUCAUUGCACAAAUAACACUGAUAACAAGAACUGUGUAAAACUCUGAUAGGUUUUGCUCUGCUUCAUGGACAUUUUAGAAUUAGAAGCAUUGGAUUUUUUUUAAAAAAAGAAAAAAAAAACACAAAUCACCCUUUCAUUACUUAUUUAGUAUGUGUGCUUUGCUUCUCAAAGGAAAGGCCAUCAGUUUUUGUGCAGAAACACAGCAAAUUGUGGAGGUGUUAACAAAUGAAGCAUAUGUCUCUCUCUUGUGCUGGAAGGGAGGAUGUUUCAGGACCUGAAAAUUUCUUAUUGAGAACGUUCACAUUCACAUUAUCGUAUUCAUCCAUUCUGUUAGCAACACUAAGGGUAUGGGAUGGUAUUGGUGACUAUAAAAGUGACAUAAUGCCAAUACAGUACUGUACAUAGUUUUCAUAAGUCACAUAUAAAUGUGUGAUUGAUUAGACACAUGAAACAAGGCCUGAGAUCUGUCUCUUGUACUGGUUAUGAUUUUCUGUGUCAAAAAAAAAUAUAACAGCUACAAAUUAUCAGAGUUAACAGCACUUAAGCCUACCAUGCAGGGUUGGCAUGCAAGUUAAAUCAUGCAGUCUUGUGAUAUGUUUUGGUAAUUCCCUGGAGCACUGAGGAAUCAGGGUGACCAGAGUAUUGUGAGGGGUACCAUGAAGAAAGACAGCUCAUGCUGGAUAGCUUAGUAGCUGCAGAGCCAGAGAUUUGGAGUUUAAUUCCCCACCGUGCCUCCUUAAAAAGCUUUACUUGAUGAUCCACUGGGUCCCUUCCAGCUCUGCAGUUCUAAGAUUAUUAUUUCCCCCAGCCAUCUGCACAAAUUAAAUAAACUGAUCCUCUGGGUCUUACUCA
ensembl:lncRNA